AAAAGGCAGAUUAGAAUUCUAUGC
rnacentral:piRNA from 1 species